rnacentral:tRNA from 1 species
GGGCCGAUAGUCUAGCCCGGCUAUGAUACCGCAUUGACACUCCGCCGACUCGCUGGUUCAAAUCCGGCUCGGCCCACCA